rnacentral:rRNA from 1 species
CGAUGAGUGCUAAGUGUUGGAGGGUUUCCGCCCUUCAGUGCUGCAGCAAACGCAUUAAGCACUCCGCCUGGGGAGUACGACCGCAAGGUUGAAACUCAAAGGAAUUGACGGGGGCCCGCACAAGCGGUGGAGCAUGUGGUUUAAUUCGAAGCAACGCGAAGAACCUUACCAGGUCUUGACAUCCUUUGACCACUCUAGAGAUAGAGCUUUCCCUUCGGGGACAAAGUGACAGGUGGUGCAUGGUUGUCGUCAGCUCGUGUCGUGAGAUGUUGGGUUAAGUCCCGCAACGAGCGCAACCCUUAUUGUUAGUUGCCAUCAUUUAGUUGGGCACUCUAGCGAGACUGCCGGUGACAAACCGGAGGAAGGUGGGGAUGACGUCAAAUCAUCAUGCCCCUUAUGACCUGGGCUACACACGUGCUACAAUGGGAAGUACAACGAGUCGCUAGACCGCGAGGUCAUGCAAAUCUCUUAAAGCUUCUCUCAGUUCGGAUUGCAGGCUGCAACUCGCCUGCAUGAAGCCGGAAUCGCUAGUAAUCGCGGAUCAGCACGCCGCGGUGAAUACGUUCCCGGGCCUUGUACACACCGCCCGUCACACCACGAGAGUUUGUAACACCCGAAGUCGGUGAGGUAACCUUUUUGGAGCCAGCCGCCUAAGGUGGGAUAGAUGAUUGGGGUGA